CCCCCCCGGGCCUCGCCGCGUCCCCCGGGCCCCGCCGCGUCCCCGCCUGGCUCCCGCAGGAAGAGGGCAGUGAAGGUUUGUUGCUGGCAGCUACACGAGGCUGGGGGAGUCAGACUGCAUCACCAAGCUGCUAAAGGAUUUGAUGGGCAGUAGAUCCAUGGAUGGACACUAAAAAGAGUAAGCCAGGACAUCCCUCUGAAGAUCCCUAGUAGCCUCUACCCAGUGAAAGCAGCAAGAUACCUUGUACUGAUAAAUGCCCACUGACUGCAGCCCCCUCCCUCUGGUAGAGAGGAUCCUUUGCUUCAGAAAAAGACCUUUUUCAUGAGCAACCUUCUUGUCUGCAGUGUGAUCAACCACCUCUUGUGGACACAUUGACUUUUCUGCUUCUGCAUCAGAAAGGUCCAGCCCAAGGUGAUUUCCACAUCAUUCCAACCAUCCCAGCUGGGACCUUUCCUGCAGGAUCAUGCUGGCCACCCAGCUCCAUGACACUUGCUUCAGUGCUGCCCAUGGCAAGAGGUGGGAAGCCUGCAAUAGGGUGAAGGCUCUUUUGUGAGCAGUGGAGCCAGGGAGUGGUCUGAAACUGUCCUGGUGCAUCACAGCAGCAGCCCGGCCUGUGUCACUCCCAGGAUGGGACAGCAGCAGUGAGAUUUACUGGUGAGGAGCUGGGACAGCUUGUGAAAAACCAGAACAUCAGCAAGUUACAGCUGCUCCCCUCCAGGUACACUGAGUGCCUGCCUGGCCUGUGCGCCCAGAGCAUUAGGAGCAAGAUGGCCUUUGGUGCCAGAUUCUGAUCAUAGAAUCACGGAAUCCUAGAAUCAUAGAAUGGUUUGGGUUGGAAGGGACCUUCAAGAUCGUCCAGUUCCAGCCCCCCUGCAUGGGCAGGGACACCUCCCACCAGACCAGGCUGCACAAGCCCCAUCCAACCUGCUCUUGAACACCUCCAGGGAUGGAGCUUCCCUGGGCAACCUGUUCUAGUGCCUUCCUGCCCUCAUGGGGAAGAAUUUCUUCCUGAUGUCUCUCCUAAAUCUACCCUCCAGUUUUCCAUCUUCUGCUCAGUGAGGUAAAAUAAUGAUCAUGGGAGAUUCAGGCACAGAAGGCAGGGAGCUCCAGUAAAUGUUUGAAUCAGAGAGAUUUAGCCUAACCUGGGGGACAGGGACAUGCACAUCUUUGCUGUAGGUGGGGCCAGGCCAUCACUCCAGGAGGUCCUGACCUAGUGAUUCACACCAGGCCAGCAGACGCACAGGAUCUUCAGCCCAGCUAAACACAACCCUCACAGCUGCCACGGGGAUGGCCUCAGUGGAGGUGUAUUUUAAAGCUUUUUUGUUUGUUUUUACCUUGAUGUCUGCCAAUCUGUAUGAAGUAAAGACCUGCAAAAACACCA